AACCUAGAGAACUUAGAUCAGACUAAAGGAGAUCCUCUUCUCUUUCACAAAAAAGGGCAGUCACCUCUCACCAUAGCUCACCCCAAAAUCUCCUCCCCCAGAUGAAAAAAUGCUGGCAGCUCUUAGAAAGAGAGGACUGCUCUCUCACUCUCUGAUGUUGAAGACCAAAAAUCGGUCCUCCAUUCCCUUAUCAUCGUCAAAUGGCUUCCCCUUUCUUCUCACUCAAUAAAACCUAGCCAUCUCAUUCGCCCAUCACUUUCACACACACACACACACACUAGAAGAUAGGUGAAAGCAGCUUUUCAAACUAAGAUCUGGAAUUUCAAGAGCUUCAAAAACAAAAAAAAAGUAAAAAGAAGGAAGAAAGAACCAUGAAAGAUUCUUAAAUCUGGUCCGAUUUCUAUUGUGUUUAGUUUGAUAAUUUCUGGAUUUUCGAGUCGAUUUUUGGCUGGGAUUGGUGCUGUUUUCUGCCGAUUCUAUUGAUGACUUCGUUGAGCUCUAGGAUCUGAAGCACGUACAUUUGGCUACCCGUCUGGUGCGCAUCCUUGAUAGUAGGCCGAGAUUCCACGGUGAACUGCUACCUUCCUACCCCGUUCAGCAGCAUGAUGGAGUCUCUCUUUGUUUUUGACUGUCUAUUCUAUUUGAGACAGUAGGAUAGAUUUAUUAUUUUGUAUAUUCUACUAGAUGCCUAUAUACUUGUGACACCAGGUCUUGACACACACAUUGGUAGACUAUUCUUUUGGGUUGUAUAACCACUAUUUUACGUUACUAAUUA